AACGCACAUUGCGCCCCUUGGUAUCCCGAGGGGCAUGCCUGUUCGAGCGUCAUUUCACCACUCAAGCCUGGCUUGGUGUUGGGCGACGUCCCCUUUGGGGACGCGCCUCGAAACGCUCGGCGGCGUGGCACCGGCUUUAAGCGUAGCAGAAUCUUUCGCUUCAAAAGUCGGGGCCCCGUCUGCCGGAAGACCUACUCGCAAGGUUGACCUCGGAUCAGGCAGGGAUACCCGCUGAACUUAA
rnacentral:misc_RNA from 1 species